rnacentral:rRNA from 1 species
GAUGAACGCUGGCGGCGUGCCUAAUACAUGCAAGUCGAGCGAACGGACGAGAGGCUUGCUUCUCUGAUGUUAGCGGCGGACGGGUGAGUAACACGUGGAUAACCUACCUAUAAGACUGGGAUAACUUCGGGAAACCGGAGCUAAUACCGGAUAAUAUUUUGAACCGCAUGGUUCAAAAGUGAAAGACGGUCUUGCUGUCACUUAUAGAUGGAUCCGCGCUGCAUUAGCUAGUUGGUAAGGUAACGGCUUACCAAGGCAACGAUGCAUAGCCGACCUGAGAGGGUGAUCGGCCACACUGGAACUGAGACACGGUCCAGACUCCUACGGGAGGCAGCAGUAGGGAAUCUUCCGCAAUGGGCGAAAGCCUGACGGAGCAACGCCGCGUGAGUGAUGAAGGUCUUCGGAUCGUAAAACUCUGUUAUUAGGGAAGAACAUAUGUGUAAGUAACUGUGCACAUCUUGACGGUACCUGAUCAGAAAGCCACGGCUAACUACGUG